UGAGCUGUGGAUAGGGGUGAAAGGCCAAACAAACUUGGAGAUAGCUGGUUCUCCUCGAAAUAGCUUUAGGGCUAGCCUCAAGUGAUGAUUAUUGGAGGUAGAGCACUGUUUGGACGAGGGGCCCCUCUCGGGUUACCGAAUUCAGACAAACUCCGAAUGCCAAUUAAUUUAACUUGGGAGUCAGAACAUGGGUGAUAAGGUCCGUGUUCGAAAGGGAAACAGCCCAGACCAUCA
rnacentral:rRNA from 1 species